rnacentral:rRNA from 1 species
GGCAGAGGUGCCAAGCGUUAGGCGGAAUCACUGGGCUUAAAGCGUGUGUAGGCGGAUUGGUAAGUACCUUGUGAAAUCCCACGGCUCAACCGUGGAACUGCUUGGUAUACUGCUUAUCUUGAGCCACUUAGGGGCUGUCGGAACAAAUGGUGGAGCGGUGAAAUGCGUAGAUAUCAUUUGGAACGCCAAAGGUGAAAACAGACAGCUGGGAGUGUGCUGACGCUGAGACACGAAAGCCAGGGGAGCGAACGGG